rnacentral:rRNA from 1 species
UUCCGGUUGAUCCUGCCAGACCCGACUGCUAUCAGAGUGGGACUAAGCCAUGCGAGUCAACGCCAUAAGGCGUGGCUUACGGCUCAGUAACACGUAGUCAAGAUGCCCAAAGGACGUGGAUAACCUCGGGAAACUGAGGAUAAACCGCGAUAGGCCAAGGUUUCUGGAAUGAGCCAUGGCCGAAAUCUAUAUGGCCUUUGGAUUGGACUGCGGCCGAUCAGGCUGUUGGUGAGGUAAUGGCCCACCAAACCUGUAACCGGUACGGGCUUUGAGAGAAGGAGCCCGGAGAUGGGCACUG